AUUUCGUGGUAAUGGAUAUUUGGGAUAUUUAAUACAGUUCUCAGUUCACUGGACCCACUUCAGUGUUGACAGGCUGUGAAUGUGUAUGGAUAUGUUACAUGAUGAGUCCUUUACCUCUGUCUCACCCAGCUGUGACACUCCACAACUCCCAGUCUCACAGCAGGUACACGCCUCUCAUCACACCACAGGUCUGUGUGUGUGUGUGCUGUGUGUGUGUGUGUGUGUGUGUGUGUGUGUGUGUGUGGUGUGUGUGUGUCCAUCAGCUAUUUUCAUUACAGUCAGAAUAUAUUGAAAAUGUGAGAAGCUACAGAUUACAGUAGUUUUCUCCAUCUCCUUUCCCCACCAGCUGACACCAGCAAACACUUGGCAGCCAUUUUGUGUCCUAUGGUGGUCAUUGGAAUCCUAGCCGUUAUCAUUCUGUUAUGUAUCCGUCGCCCAGGAAAUGAAGCCUGUUUCAAACAAGCUCUCAAGUUCUGUAACAAGGGAGUAAGAGAAACGUUGCCUAACAAGACCAAAGAGCCACCUCAUCAGCACAAUGCCAGAGAGGCACAGCCCAGUAUUAAGCACCAGACAGUGGAUCCACCACCUAUUACAGCAGCAAAUAUGGGCCCGGUCCAUGUCCACAAUGCUGGAACAGUCAUCUUCAGUUUACUCAACCAGUUCACUGGUAUGGGUGGAGGGAUGGAAGGGAGAGGGCAGAAAGAGAGGGAUGAGGAAGGAUGUCCGACCCACCCCACACCCUCCCCUAACAUCCAUCUAUCCCAGGAGGAAAGGGAUGGGGAGAUGGACUGUGUAUUCUUCCCUUCACAGGAACAAGGGAAGGACAGUCACGUUUCCAAAGAGGAGGUGCAUUGA
rnacentral:lncRNA from 1 species